UUGUAUUUGAAUAGUUAGAUUAACGUGUUAGUAAUCCAAUUGUAGGCGGUUCGUGUGUGGAUCUUGUCAGCAUAUUGUCGCAAACAGGAAAUCUCCAACCAUAGUGGGCUUGGAGCUGUGAGGGAAUUCGGAGUGGCCACCCGUUCUGAAAGUUUGAUUUUCUUCUAGUGAACUGGACAUCCUUUUAUUUACGUUUGAAGUUUUGGGUUUUUAAAUGUAAUAAGGCCGCUUAAUUAUUUUUGAUGGUUUUAAUAUGUAUUACUAAGAUAGGUAUUACUUA